GCCGCCAUGGUGAAAUUGGUAGACACGCUG
rnacentral:tRNA from 2 species